CAAGCCCUGGUUUAUUCACAUCCAUCCAGUAUUUAAGCCACAUUAUCACAGAUGCCAGAGCAAUACAGACUGUGACAUUACAAUAACUGGACGAGAACAUCAGCGCAAGGAUGAAGUCAAUACAGGCAAUGUUACUGAUGCUUUUUGUUGCAUCUGUCUUUUCAAAACCAUUUCCUUUGCGCAGAGGAUUUGAUUCAUCAGACUCAAGAUCCAGUUCCAGCGAGGAUUCAAACUCUGAAUCUGAAUCAAAUGAGUCUAAAUCAAGGGAAUCUGAUUCUUCUGAGGAAGUUAUUGUGCCACGCACAAUCCCUCCAACUAGAAGAACAACAAAUCCGCCGACCACUGUCAGCACAACAGGACCCACA